CCUUCUUUGCUUUCAUCCGUUCCUCGCCAGUCUCCUCUUUCUCUAUAAAGCUAGGCCGACAGAUUGUAUACUGGUAGAGUGGUCCUUUCAUCUUUGGAUGCCAUCUUUCUCUUCUUCCUUUUUGUCUACCUUCCUUUUCCAUCCACUACUCUGUGUUUUUAGAUUUGUCUCUGAGAAAAUGUUUCUGAUGCUGAAUUACAAGUUGAUGACAGAAGAAGCUGCGUACAUACGCGUGGAAACAGCACUGGAGGAUAGGACAUGAGAGGAAAAGCCAAAAGUUUCUCUAAUUUAUACUUCUUGUUCGGGCUUUUUUGUGCGGAUUUCAUCCAAUUAUAUUGUAGCAAAUUGCAAGAAUGUCAGUGGGUGA